UAUAUUAAGUUGUUGCAGUUAAAAAGCUCGUAGUUGAACCUCGGGGUCUACCCAUUGGUCAGGCUUAAUUGUCUGCACUGGUGAGAUGGAUCUCUACCUUCUGAGGAACUUUCAUGCCAUUUAUUUGGUGUGAUGGGAAAUCAGGACUGUUACUUUGAAAAAAUUAGA
rnacentral:rRNA from 1 species